rnacentral:tRNA from 2 species
AGAAAGUUAGUCUAACCAAGACAGUUGAUUUCGACUCAACAGAUUAUAGCACCCACCCUAUAACUUUCUU